GAAUUAGUGCAGCGGAAAUAUUUCAGCGAUUAAAAACGAAAGCUGCGUUCGUUUGAUAAAAACUAUUUUGAUGCAAAAGCCGAUUCUAAGAAUACUUAUGAUUAAGUGCAGUUUAUGUCUAAACACAGUUUGCGUCUAAGCGCAGUUUACGCAGUUUGCGUCUAAAUGCAGUUUGCGUCUAAAUGCAGAUUGCGUCUAAGCGCAGUUUGCGUCUAAG
rnacentral:lncRNA from 1 species